rnacentral:rRNA from 1 species
AACGAACGCUGGCGGCGUGGCUAAGACAUGCAAGUCGAACGGACUAUAUGAUUGAGUAAUCGAGAUUAUGGUUAGUGGCGUAAGGGUGAGGAAUGAAUAGGUAACGUACCCCGAAGUCCGGGAUAGCGUCUGAAUGCCUCGGCAUUCUUCCGAAAGGGGCAGUAAUACCGGAGAUAUCAUCGGAUAUUAAGUCGAUGAUCAAAGAUUUAUCGCUUUGGGAGCGGCCUAUUUCCUAUCAGCUUGUUGGUGAGGUAAUGGCUCACCAAGGCAGCGACGGGUAGCGGGACUGAGAGGUUGACCCGCCACAUUGGGACUGAGACACUGCCCAGACCCCCACGGGGGGCCGCAGUAACGAAUAUUGUGCAAUGAACGAAAGUUUGACACAGCGACGCCGCGUGUAGGAUGAAGCCUUUCGGGGUGUAAACUACUGUCAGGGGUUAGAAAGUGCGCUUCGGCGCGUUGAUCAGCCCCAGAGGAAGUCACGGCUAACUUCGUGCCAGCAGCCGCGGUAAUACGAAGGUGGCAAGCGUUGUUCGGAAUCACUGGGCUUAAAGCGCGCGUAGGCGGAAAUUCAAGUGUCCUGUGAAAUCCCCCGGCUCAACCGGGGAACUGCGGGGCAAGCUGGAUUUCUUGAGGCAAGUAGGGGUACAUGGAACUCUUAGUGGAGCGGUGGAAUGCGUAGAUAUUAAGAGGAACGCCGAUGGUGAAGACAGUGUACUGGGCUUGUCCUGACGCUGAGGUGCGAAAGCGUGGGGAGCGAACGGGAUUAGAUACCCCGGUAGUCCACGCCGUAAACGAUGUCUACUAGGUUGUGGAGGUUCUGACACCCUCACAGUCGAAGCAAAAGUGUUAAGUAGACCGCCUGGGGAGACGGUCGCAAGGCU